rnacentral:lncRNA from 10 species
GAAGCAGCUGCCUUUGCAAUCAGAAAGCAAGUCUGGGCUGUCAGAAUCUCUGCUGGAAAAGAGGAAUGUUGGAACUGCUUUGGAGGAAGACAUUUCCAGGAAUGGAACACCUAUUCAGUACUGACAGAGGAGGAGCACUGCCAUCUUGGACAAGCACCUCAUCCUAAAGUUCAUCUUAAUCAAAAACCACCUAAAUCCAAAGGACAUCAGCCUAAUGGCCAAGGUCAGCAUGACCAUAAACCACAAAUAACAUCUCUGACCAGAAACAUUCCAAACUCCUCCCCAACCAGAGACAUGCUAGCCCCGAGAUAGUCUCCCUCUGGCCGGAAAGAUGUCAGCCCCAAGAUAACCUCUCCUCCGUCCAGAGAAAUUCCAACCCCCCAUAAACUUCUCCCCCACACAGAAACAUUCCAAGCUUGUGAUAAGCCUGCUCACUGUAAAACCAAUAUAUACUCUUAGUCUGUAAGAGAAAGCUCUCCUGACCAAAAUUGGCCAGAAGCCCCUCUCAGGU